rnacentral:misc_RNA from 2 species
ACAUCUCAACUCCUCACGGUUUGCCCGUGAUGAGCUUGGACUUUGGGGGUUUUGCUGGCCUGCAGGUCGGCUCCUCUAAAAUGAAUCAGCUUGCCGGUGUUUGGUGGCGUCACAGGUGUGAUAACUAUCUACGCUUGUGGUUUUCCGCCAGGUAACCUCCAGCGAUGGGGGUUCACUGGAGCUCACAAAUGUCUCUCCUCGGCGAGGACAGCUCUUUGAAC